CUGGCAGCCAAAGUCAGCAAAAUAUUUAUUCAAAUAGCGUGCGCGUCUCCGGCUCCCUAAAGCUGCAGGUUGAAAUGGUCAGAGGCGGGACCCCAGAACCCUGAACCCCGAUCUCAGAACCCAUAGCCCACGAAUGCGCUACGUGAUAAGCCUGUUCGUUUCCAUGGAAUUCCUGCUGACUAAUAUGGUGAGGACCUCAAGCUAAUUUUCAUUUGGGUGCCCAGGCCAGAAGUCAAAUAAAUGGCGCACAAUGGGCCUCAUACAGAUAAUGGAAAAGGUAUC
rnacentral:sRNA from 1 species